AGACUCAGAUGUGGCCUGGAAGUUACACCAUCAUUUCCCCUGGUUGUCAGGCCUUCGGUCUCAGCUUGAACAGCCCACAUCCAGUGACUGAUAAAGGCAGGAGUAUAAAGGUGUUAAUUCCAAGAGUACCUCCCAAUAAAUGCCCACAUGCCAAUCUCUGAUUCCAUCUGCUUUCCAGGGAAUCCAACUUGCAACUGCAGAGAGAGA